UACGGAAGGCAGCAGGGGGAAUAUUGCACAAUGGGCGAAAGCCUGAUGCAGCUAUGCCGCGUGUAUGAAGAAGGCCUUAGGGUUGUAAAGUACUUUCAUCGGGGAGGAAAAACAAAACUAAUAAUUUUAUUUCUUGACGUUACCCGAAAAAGAAGCACCGGCUAACUCCGUGCCAGCAGCCGCGGUAAUACGGAGGGUGCUAGCGUUAAUCAGAAUUACUGGGCGUAAAGAGCACGUAGGUGGUUUUUUUAAGUCAGAUGUGAAAUCCCUGGGCUUAACCUGGAAACUGCAUUUUGAAACUGAAAUACUAGAGUAUCGUAGAGGGAGGUAGAAUUCUAGGUGUAGCGGUGAAAUGCGUAGAUAUCUGGAGGAAUACCUGUGGCGAAAGCGGCCUCCUAAACGAAUACUGACACUGAGGUGCGAAAGCGUGGGGAGCAAACAGGGAUUAGAUACC
rnacentral:rRNA from 1 species